GAACUGAAGAGUUUGAUCAUGGCUCAGAUUGAACGCUGGCGGCAGGCCUAACACAUGCAAGUCGAGCGGAUGAAGGGAGCUUG
rnacentral:rRNA from 1 species